CCAGUAUCUUUAAUAAAAACCCCUAACAAAUGUUGAAUAUCUUCUAUGUGAUGUUUGUAAUUAUCAUUUUCUGUUGUUGCUAAUAGUACUUCUGAUUCAAGUGUUAGUUUUGAUGUUAUGAAAUAGAGUGCAGAGCGGAGUUUUUCUCUAGCCUCCUCAUAAUUUUCACAAUCCAGAAGAUAAUGGUCAACUGUUUCUAUUUGUCCACAGCUGCAUUUGUCGAUGAGUGCUGGG
rnacentral:lncRNA from 1 species